GAUGAAGAACGUAGCGAAAUGCGAUAAGUAAUGUGAAUUGCAGAAUUCAGUGAAUCAUCGAAUCUUUGAACGCACCUUGCGCCCUUUGGCAUUCCGAAGGGCAUGCCUGUUUGAGUAUCAUGAACACCUCAACUCUUCAUGGUUUUCCAUGAUGAGCUUGGACUUUGGGGGUCUUGCUGGCCUGCGGUCGGCUCCUCUCAAAUGAAUCAGCUUACCAGUGUUUGGUGGGCAUCACAGGUGUGAUAACUAUCUGCGCUUGUGGUUUUCCACCAAGUAACCUUCAGCAGUGGAGGUUCACUGGAGCUCACAGACGUCUCUCCUCAGUGAGGACAGCCCUUUGAAUGUUUGAUCUCAAAUCAGGUAGGACUACCCGCUGAACUUAAGAAUAUCAAUAAGCGGAGGA
rnacentral:misc_RNA from 1 species